rnacentral:rRNA from 1 species
GACAGCAGCCGCCACGGGAAUACGUAGGGUGCAAGCGUUAAUCGGAAUUACUGGGCGUAAAGCGUGCGCAGGCGGUUCGUUAAGUCAGAUGUGAAAUCCCCGGGCUCAACCUGGGAACUGCAUUUGAGACUGUAUGGCUAGAGUGUGUCAGAGGGGGGUAGAAUUCCACGUGUAGCAGUGAAAUGCGUAGAUAUGUGGAGGAAUACCGAUGGCGAAGGCAGCCCCCUGGGAUAACACUGACGCUCACGCACGAAAGCGUGGGGAGCAAACAGGAUUAGAUACCCGUGUAGUCCCUGUCUCUUAUAC